rnacentral:rRNA from 1 species
UACGAAGGGGGCUAGCGUUGCUCGGAAUCACUGGGCGUAAAGCGCACGUAGGCGGAUUGUUAAGUCAGGGGGUGAAAUCCUGGAGCUCAACUCCAGAACUGCCUUUGAUACUGGCGAUCUUGAGUCCGGGAGAGGUGAGUGGAACUGCGAGUGUAGAGGUGAAAUUCGUAGAUAUUCGCAAGAACACCAGUGGCGAAGGCGGCUCACUGGCCCGGUACUGACGCUGGAGGUGCGAAAGCGUGGGGAGCAAACAGG